rnacentral:rRNA from 1 species
UACGUAGGCAGCGAGCGUUGUUCGGAGUUACUGGGCGUAAAGGGUGUGUAGGCGGUUGUUUAAGUUUGGUGUGAAAUCUCCCGGCUUAACUGGGAGGGUGCGGCGGAAACUGGGAUGCUAGAGGAUGGGAGAGGUAAGCGGAAUUCCUGGUGUAGCGGUGAGAUGCGUAGAUAUCAGGAGGAACACCAGUGGCGAAGGCGGCUUCCUGGCCUGUAACUGACGCUGAGACGCGAAAGCGUGGGGAGCGAACCGG